AGCGUCAUUAUCAACCCUCAAGCCUGGCUUGCUGUUGGACCUUCGUCGUUAAAGGACAGGUCCCAAAGACAAUGACGGAGUCGUCGGACCCUAGAUGUAACGAGCUUUUAUUAGCACGCAUUGAUGGACCGAUCGUUCUGGUUUUAACCAUAUUUUUCAAGGUUGACCUCGGAUCAGGUAGGAAUACCCGCUGAACUUAA
rnacentral:misc_RNA from 1 species